CUUCUUGAUAUUGUUGUGUUCAGUAGAGCUUGUGCAAAUGGGGUAGCAGAGAUCCAAAGACCAGGAGCAAAGCAAAAGCCUUUAGAAAAAGAUGCUGGUUCCAGGACAAUGAGUGGUUAGAGAAGAUAAGAAAUUCAAAUGGCUCACUUCCAACCUCAAAAUUCCAGUUGAAUAUGAAACGAGUAAUGCAAACUAAUGAUGCUGUAUUCCGUACACAAAAAACUCUUGCAGAAGGAGCAAAGGAAAUUGCAGUCCUCCUACUGAUGGAAACCCCCACCAUAGUGAUUGCAAAAGAAUGAGGCAUCCAUACUAGUCAAAGACUUACAAGGUGGAGAUUUCAUGUGCUACAAAGAUCCCAAUGCAGGCCAUUGAAACAAGCUUUACGUGGUCAGGACUCUGACAACUGUCAAGAAGGCCUAAGGGUUCUAGACAUCAUCCUCUGACAGCAUGCAGCUAAACAGUAUGUUAUUGUUCCUGAUCAUGUUCAGGUUUGUUAUGAAAAAUUGAUUGUAACAAGGUGAAGUGUAGAGGCUGCCUCAUGGUGCGAAAAUCACUUUUUCACAAUGAUGUGAAUAACUGCACUGAUGUUGGUGGUGGUGUCCUUGCUUCAUCGUGUAUGUAGCACUUAUGAAUCUUGAUAUUUGAAGCACUAAUCAGUAAUCAGGCACAUAAUAUCUCUUUUACUGUGCAUACUCCUAAGUUAAGCUCAUAUAGUGAGACAUUAUAGGCCAUAAGGGGUAGAUUCAUGAGUAAUUUAAUCUAUUAUUUUUUCCUUCCUGUUGCGAGCUCGAAUGUUUAUAUUCUUUUAGCUUUUCUAAAUAAAACAUGCAUAUUUGUUUCAGGUUGGUGGAACUGUAAGGACUGUAGGAGGCGAGUUUCCAGAGCGACUUGGUCAAACAGGAUGCCAGGUUUCAAUUGCUUUGAAAUACAAGUGGUUUCAUCAUUCAUUCUUGGCGAUUACAUGCUACACUAAAUUAUUAUUAAGAUUUUUUAGUUUCACUAUCCACAUGAUGCACUUUGUUUCUCUUAUUGCAUUAUUAUUUAAGGACUGGGAAUGUAAAUCCGGUGCUACAUGGAAAGUCCAUCAUCCCAGUAAAUAUUUAUGGAUUCCCAUUUACGUUUAUUUCUCUUGUACUUGUAUAUGUAGUUUCACUAUCAUUGUAAAGGACACCCUUAUACAAGCAAUUUUAUGUGCGUCAAUUAUAAUAUCAUUCAAGCUUUGAAUAUCUCUUUUAUUCUAAUUUUUAUUUCUAAAUGAAUAUAUCCUCUUUUAUUCAAACAGGGGGAGAAAGAAUGUGCGUGCUAUAUGAAAACAGGCCACUGCAAAUUUAGUAUAACUUGCAAACACCAUCAUCCUCAGAUGCAUGGCGUAUCGGUGGCAGCACCUGCACGCCCAUCUUAUGCAGCUGUGCAGUCUUCAGUUCCUACUCCUGAACAGUAUGGAGGAGAUACAACAAACUACGGGGUUCCGAUACCUCCGCUUUUUCCGGGGUCAUAUGUAUGAGGUGGUUAUGGCCCACUGCUGCUUCCUCAAGGGUGAUGCUUGUUCCAAACUAGAGUCCUUAUACGGUAAGUUAAUUUGCUAUAAUAUUGAGGAUAUAACCCAUCUAUGGCUCUUAUUCUUAUGGUGAACGCAAAUGACUCCUGGUGU